GUAUCACUUUUCUCCCUCCCUCCCUCGAGCCAAGUUUCUCCCCUUCUCGAGCCCUAGCUAUUCGUCCUUCUCCACUCGUACGUAUGCCUCGUUCUCGUCAUUAAUCUUCCUCACUCACUGCAACCUUCUCCCUCGUUCAGGCUUAUUCUCCCUCAUGGAGCGUUAUUCUGUAUGCUACUGCAACCUUCUCCCUCGUUGAACCUCUCUCAAAGGCUAACUUGAAGUCUCCUCUGUCGAACGCAGUGAAAGGCUCUUCUAUCGAACACACUAAAGGGCUUGGAAGCAUUUUCCCUAAAUGUGGUUGUGCGUCGUUGCCUUCCGAAACAAUCUCGUUCAGCAAACAUUGUAGGACGACCUCCGUGGUUAGUUGAAACCUUCAUCUGGUUGGAAAUCCCGAAUUUUGAAACCCUAGGUUGGUUUGUUCCCGUUGGAAGAGAUAAGGUGGAGCUCCAAUUGCCUUCUGCACCUUCCAGAGAGAAUCAAGCCGUCAGAUGUAGGUCUUGAACAAGAAGCACAAUUAGUUCGGAAUUGGCCUGGUCCAGCACUUGAACGUAAUGGGAGCCAUCAAUCCUUGCCACCUAUAAAAUAUUUGCAUUUACAUGAAUGUGACUCCUUCUCUAUAGGAAUUUUUUGCAUGCCCCCCUCGUCUAUCAUUCCUCUCCAUAAUCAUCCUGGAAUGACAGUGUUGAGCAAGUUGUUGUAUGGCUCAAUGCAUGUUAAAUCCUAUGAUUGGAUCGAUGCAUCUGGCUCUCAUGAUCAAUCUGAAGGUUCGUGUCGCAUCUGUAGAAGCACUGGGGCAGAUGGUAGGUCUCAUAACACGAGUACAGUUAAAGACUUCCCUACCAAGUCUUAUCCCUACAAUAUUGGACUUCUAUGGUUGCAGAUAUGGCAACAGUGAGGUAUCUCCCAAGUUUGGCAUCAGCAAGGAAGCCACCAACAAGGCCAAGAAGGUGGGCUUUGAGAUGAUUGAUGCAUUUGCUGAAUCUUAGGGGAUUCCUAUGAACACUUCCUAUUCCAAAGCCAUUUUCGGAAAAGUUGGUUUGUUGCAGGUUUUGUUGGUGAAGUUCUUGUCUUCCUUGCAAAGCCUCCUCGGACUUACAUGAAUCUGAGUGGUGAAUUAGUCAAUUGCAGCAGAAAACAAUUUCCCAUCCACCUUGCAGUGCAUUUUUGGUUGCAUUUAUGGUACUAGGAUAUCCUCUUAUUUAAUGAUUGAGCUUAUAUUUGCUAAUUAAUGUUUUUUGUUGUUCUGAAAACUUGUAACUCCUUUGUUGCAAAGUUGAUUGCUUAAGAAUUGGCCAGUGUAGUUAAGAUUUUGCACAUGCACUAUAGUAAUGAGACUUGUGCACUUGAAUUUGCAGCUUCAUGGUAUAUAGUUUAUAUGAUUAUUGUACAUAUGAAUAUAUUAUCUUAUAAUUUGUCUCACUUUUCUUUGAGGUUGCUUGAUUUUUUUCUUCUAUUCUUUAAGUUGUUGAAAUAGAU